rnacentral:rRNA from 1 species
AUGAACGCUGGCGGCGUGCCUAAUACCUGCAAGUCGAGCGAACAGACGAGGAGCUUGCUCCUCUGACGUUAGCGGCGGACGGGUGAGUAACACGUGGAUAACCUACCUAUAAGACUGGGAUAACUUCGGGAAACCGGAGCUAAUACCGGAUAAUAUAUUGAACCGCAUGGUUCAAUAGUGAAAGACGGUUUUGCUGUCACUUAUAGAUGGAUCCGCGCCGCAUUAGCUAGUUGGUAAGGUAACGGCUUACCAAGGCAACGAUGCGUAGCCGACCUGAGAGGGUGAUCGGCCACACUGGAUCUGAGACACGGUCCAGACUCCUACGGGAGGCAGCAGUAGGGAAUCUUCCGCGAUGGGCGAAAGCCUGACGGAGCAACGCCGCGUGAGUGAUGAAGGUCUUCGGAUCGUAAAACUCUGUUAUUAGGGAAGAACAAAUGUGUAAGUAACUAUGCACGUCUUGACGGUACCUAAUCAGAAAGCCACGGCUAACUACGUG